GUUCUUGUUGCUUUGGAGACCACAGGAGAGGCAGUGGUGAUGGCCCAUCACUUGAGCCCUGUGGCAUCCCCACAGGAUCCAUGGGCAUCAAGUAAUUUCCCUGUGCUUCUCUGAAGAUAAACCGCUGCCUUCACCAGCCUAGCAGCUUCCAGAAGCUGUGGAUGAGAAGCAAUCUCCCACCAAAAGCCAGAGCUCACCUGCAAAGCUUCAAUCCCAAGCAGAAGGAAGCCUCCGUUUUUCUCCCCCAGAUAAGCCUGAAUUCACCUCCAGAAAGUCUCAAUGCAUCACACCAAGGGUCACACACCUGCUCAUGGUUCUUCUUGAGGCAAAGCAGCUCUUCCUUCAGGGACUCCAGCUGGGCCUCCAGGUCACACUUGGUGAGGGUGAGGUUGUCCAGCACCCUGCGCAGGCCACAGAUGUCAGCCUCCACCAGCUGGUGCAGCGAGCACUCUGUCUCGUACCUGUAACAGGAGUUACAGUUAGAGAGCAGGAAGGGGCACCAGGACAUGACUCCCAGCUCGCAGCUGUAAGUCCACUGGCCUGCCCUUUGCCAUCUAAUUGUGAGUUGGCUUAUCCUGUGUAGUGUGCUCAAAGCCCAGAAAGCAACAGGAUGUUCCCCACUCAGUCAAUACUAAGCACCUGAGAUGAACCAAGGGGAGCAGCUGGUACUGAGGAUACUGUGAUGGACACACAGCCAGCACCUGCCUUUACAGACAAUGGCCCAAAAGGGAGGAGGCAAAGUAACCAGGCAUUUGCAACACGGUGCAAUCACUGCAGACCCCUCUCUACAAGCCCCAUACCCAAAGGGACCCUGGAUUCCCUCUUAGAGUAAAAGCCACAUUGCCAGCGUGAGAGGAAGGAAAUGGCUUUCUUUAGCUCUAGAAGAGUGAGACUUGCACAGUGCCCUGAAGAAAGAUGAAAAAACACAAUGCCCCUUCCAGCACCCGGGGUAGACCCCCCUCAGGUGGUGUCAACCCUUUGACUUUCACAUGUUUUCGUCUUAGGCUAUGGAGCGUGAUUUCUGCUAUGAAUUAUCAGCACUCACAAAUUAAUCAAGCUGCAGCACAGAAACAUAUCCUUAUUAAGGCAACAGUUUCACAGGAAAUUGCUUCAAGAAAGGAAAAUUUGGUACAAAAUUUAAAGCCAAGUCCCAGCUCUGCCACUCAGUACCCACAUGGCUUCUGGCAAGUCACACCAGCACCCCAAGCCUCAGGGUCCCCACCUGUGGAGGAGAGGCUAUCCCUGCCCGCCUGCUUCACAAGUUGCUUACCAGGUGGAUGGUGCAUUCUAGCACAUGUUGUAAACUGUUAAUGCUAAACCACUGGAGAGUGGAUAGUUUUUCAGGAUCUUGAGCUUAAUGCCCUUUGUUCUCUCCUGCUGUAACUACUGGGUUGGCGUCGGGGUCAAUGACAUCCGAUGCCACAUGAGACAGAAGCAGCCAACUUGGCAUUGUCCCAUCCCCAUCCAACCCCAACUCUCACUUGGCUCCUUCCCAUCCCUGUCCAACCCCAACUCACUUGGUCCUGAAGUCAUCCGCAGCCAAUUUGGCAUUGUCUAUUUGCACAACCAGCCUAUUGUUCUCCGAUUUGGUGCACAGAAUCUGGGAUAAGAAAGUAGGCUCAGUAAGUGACUUACUGAUCCCAGAGACACCUAUAGCCUCGGGUGAGAGGAAGUUUUAUUGGCUGAAGUUGAAUCUACAGCAUCCGCCUGGACAACACAAACUCUCAAACAUGCAAGAGAUGCUUUUGUGGGUGUGGGAAGGAAGAUGUGCAAGAGACUUCUUGGAAAAGGAUGAAGACAUAGAGUCAAAGGAACCAGGAGAUGGAAGACAGUAGCAAACUGAACAUAUAACAAAGACUUGCUUUCAUUUUGCCAGAUAUGAUGCUUAGCCCAAUAUAAAUAAGAAGAUCUGGCCAGAUGCAGUGGCUCAUGCCUGUAAUCUCAGCACUUUGGGAGGCCAAGGCAGGUGGAUCACCUGAGAGAGCUGCAAAAAUUUUGAGGUGGAAGAAAGCUCACUGAGAGACCAGAAAAAGACUUCAUGGAGUAGGGGAUUUUCCAAAUAUGUUUUUAAUGAUAUUUUUUAUAAAGGGUUGGGGAGUGAGUUUCUCUCAUACAGAACAAAAUAAACACGAUCAAACAUUUGGAAAAUG